rnacentral:rRNA from 1 species
AAUUUUGGACAAUGGGGGCAACCCUGAUCCAGCCAUGCCGCGUGUGUGAAGAAGGCCUUCGGGUUGUAAAGCACUUUUGUCCGGAAAGAAAACCUCGUGGUUAAUACCCGUGGGGGAUGACGGUACCGGAAGAAGAAGCCCCGGCUAACUACGUGCCAGCAGCCGCGGUAAUACGUAGGGGGCGAGCGUUGUCCGGGGUUACUGGGCGUAAAGGGCACGCAGGCGGUGCGGCGCGUUUCGCGUGACAGCGGAGGGCUUACCUCUCCGAGGAUGCGAAAGACGGCGGCACUUGAGGGCCAGAGAGGGACACGGAAUUCCGGGUGGAGUGGUGAAAUGCGUAGAGAUCCGGAGGAACACCGAAGGCGAAGGCAGUGUCCUGGCUGGUGACUGACGCUGAGGUGCGAAAGCUAGGGGAGCGAAC